UUUAAGAAAAAGAUAAAUUUAUAAACUUCUAUUUUACACAUUUAAACAAAAUAAAAUUCUCUUUACAACCAUCAUAUCACUCACAAACUUCAAUAAACUUUCUUCACAAAUUCACUUUGAUAUACCAUAAUCCAAACAACCUCACUUUCUUUACACUUUCCUCUAAAAUCACUCCAAAUUCACUUUCUCAAAUCUUCUUCUCAAUCCAAUGGUUAUGCAAUAAAGGAGGGUAUUAUAAUAUUUUUGCUUAUAGUAUGGGUUGUAGUUAGUAAUCAUGGGGUGCAGUAUAAAAAGCCCUAUUUAAUAGCAAAAUUCUCUUCUCACCAGUCCAGACCAAAUCUCAAUGUUUAUUUGGUAUACUACAGGCCCAUAGAAAAACACAACCCUCCACUUUCAGUAUCUAUGAAAAACAGUUCAGUAUCAAAUUUAAGUCUACACCAAAGCUUCUUGGCAGUCACCCUAAGAAGAGAUUGAAAAGUGGCGGAAAAUUUUGAAUGAUUUUUUCAUAUCCUAAAAAGGAAGAAAAUAGUCAUAUGAGGUUAUAUACCUAAUGAUGAUGAUUAUAAUAAUAAAAGCUAAUGUAACUAAAUGAAAAUAUAAAACACAGAAUGGGUAAGAUCUGGUAAUUUAAUGUAAAGAAGUGACAAAGAGAAGGGAAGGAAGGAAGGAAGAAAAAAGGGUAAACCCUAGAAACUGAAUAGCCUUACACAGCAUAGGAGGAGUGAUGAUCCAAAAUAUGCUUUGAAGAAGUAGGGUCCAAAGGAAGGAUCCAAAAGGUACAAAAGAGAAUAUCCAAUUUUCCACAAUUAUGAUCACAGAUUGAAAGCAAUUUCCCUGUGCCAGGCGUUUCUCAAUCUCAACUUGUACAACAAAACAGUUUUCAUUACGCUCUUAACACUCUGGAUUUUAUCACCAUAUCACCAUUCCUCAAUAAUUUGCACACGAAUCUUCUAGAACUACCUAUCGUAAUCAAUUUCCAUACCAUAUAAUAAUUUACUGGGUUUAUCUUCAAAAUAUGCGAGAACUCUGACACAUUCAAGAUUACCACUACCGCUAAUAGUGUGCACAUAAAGUUGCCUUUUCUUACACGAACCAUAUACCAAAACAACAUAUUUCUUUGUUUUUUCAUUUGUCAAACGUUGACUACAGUGAUCUCUUGAAUCAUCUUUGAAUUGAAUUUGUAUAAGCCUAAUCCAAUCCAACUCAGGUCAUUUUCACACAUGAAUUUACACUCCAAAGUUAAUCCAAACGAACCAUUCAUAAUCAAAAUGGGAAUUGAAUUGUGUAAGAAUUGUCUCAAAAAUUGCAUUGAAGGCGUAGUGACAUGUUUUGAUUUUGAUGUGAUCAAUAAAAACAAGUAACUAGCAUGAAUGAAUGGAAUCAUUCUGAGUAGAUAAGGGUUACAUACCCAAAAAAACUCAAGAACCUUUCAAGGGGGAAUGCACCAUGUCCACACGUAUUCUUCAAAAUCCUCACUACCC
rnacentral:lncRNA from 1 species